rnacentral:hammerhead_ribozyme from 1 species
AUUCAGCUCACGAGUCCCAAAUAGGACGAAACGCGCGUCCUGGAU